rnacentral:rRNA from 1 species
GACGAACGCUGGCGGCGUGCCUAAUACAUGCAAGUCGAACGCAGUGGGGACGGGUGAGUAACACGUGGGUAACCUCCCAUCAGAGGGGAUAACACUUGGAAACAGGUGCUAAACCGAUACUGAUGGAUGGACCCGCGGUUCAUUAGCUAGUUGGUGAGGUAACGGCGCACCAAGGCCACGAUGCAUAGCCGACCUGAGGGGGUGACCGGUCACACAGGGGCUGGGACACGGACCAGACUCGUACGGGAGGCAGCAGUAGGGAAUCUGCGGCAAUAGACGAAAGGCUAGCCUGCCAACGCCGCGUGAGUGAAGAAGGUUUUCGGAUCGUAAAACUCGGUUGUAAGAGAAGCGGUAUCUAACCAAAAAGCCACGGCUAACUACGUGCCAGCAGCCGCGGUAAUAC